CUGGGUUGGAAAGCCUCUAGGUUACACCUGCACUCAUUUCAGCACCACCCUGACCUCUGGGCCUUUGCACGUGAUGCUGUCUGUUCAGAGCACUGCAGUUGCUGUCAUCCCAGAGGCUUCCUCCCUCACCUGUCACACCUGGGAAUCCCCGGUCUCUUCAUGUGGUGACUCCAACAUGCCCCAAAGUAGUGACAGAAUGUGCAGAUGCCGCCCCAGGAGGCUGGUGCCUGGUUCCCUUUCCACUAGAAAGGGGAGGAUGACUGAAGAUGGCUGGAAGUGAUAAAGCAAGCGUGGGACCUGCAUUGUCAGUUUCUGCUGCCAUCCCCUCUGUUCUUUGGUAUCAAAGACGCUUGGCCACCUGUACAUGGUGAGAGGGUGAUUUGAGGCAAAUGAGACCCUCCAUCUCUUUGAAGGU
rnacentral:lncRNA from 1 species